rnacentral:rRNA from 1 species
GACGAACGCUGGCGGCGUGCCUAAUACAUGCAAGUCGAACGCAGUGGGGACGGGUGAGUAACACGUGGGUAACCUCCCAUCAGAGGGGAUAACACUUGGAAACAGGUGCUAAACCGAUACUGAUGGAUGGAUCCGCGGUGCAUUAGCUAGUUGGUGAGGUAACGGCUCACCAAGGCCACGAUGCAUAGCCGACCAUACGGAGUGAUCGGCCACACUGUGACUGAGAAACGGCCCAGAAUCCUACGGGCGGCAGCAGUAGGGAAUCUUCGGAGAUGGACGAAAGUCUGACCGAGCAACGCCGCGUGAGUGAAGGAGGUUUUCGGAUCGUAGAACUCUGUUAUUAGAGAAGCGGUAGCUAACCAGAAAGCCACGGCUAACUACGUGCCAGCAGCCGCGGUAAUAC